rnacentral:rRNA from 1 species
GGGGAAUCUUGAACAAUGGGGGCAACCCUGAUGCAGCGACGCCGCGUGAGCGAUGAAGCCCUUCGGGGCGUAAAGCUCGUUCGACCGGAACGAUAAUGACGGUACCGGGAGAAGAAGCUGCGGAUAACUACGUGCCAGCAGCCGCGGUAAUACGGAGGCAGAACGCGUUGUUCGGAGUUAAUGGGCGUAAAGAGUGCGUAGGCGGUUUUCUAAGUUCGGUGUGAAAUCUCCCGGCUUAACUGGGAGGGUGCGCCGAAAACUGGGAAGCUGGAGUGGGGGAAAGGCAGGCGGAAUUCCUGGUGUAGCGGUGAAAUGCGUAGAUAUCAGGAGGAACACCGGCGGUGUAGACGGCUUGCUAGAC